rnacentral:rRNA from 1 species
UACAGGGGGGGCAAGCGUUGUUCGGAGUUACUGGGCGUAAAGAGUAUGUAGGCGGUUGGGUAAGUUUGGUGUGAAAUCUCCCGGCUUAACUGGGAGGGUGCGCUAAAGACUGCCUGGCUCGAGUGUGGGAGAGGAAAGCGGAAUUCCUGGUGUAGCGGUGAAAUGCGUAGAUAUCAGGAGGAACACCUGCGGUGUAGACGGCUUUCUGGACCAUAACUGACGCUGAGAUACGAAAGCGUGGGUAGCAAACAGG